AUCUCCAGGACCAGCGAACAUUGCAGGAGAAAACCGUUGCAAUCCUCCGCCAGACCAGAGAAGGGCGCCGGUUUGGCCAUGGGACUGGCGACCACGGGAGGUGAAGGAGCUGCGGCGGUGGAUGCGGAAGUGUUCGCUGGUGUUGUUGCCGUGGAGGUGCUGGCGAAGGUGCGACGAAGUGCAGUGACCAACUCUUGAAUGGGAUCCGGGGUGCUCAUGCUGUUACCUGGGCGGUGUUGGUCCGGUCUUCUGUUACAUACAGAAGGGGACGGAGACACAGAUACGGGUUAACAGGUUUAUUGAAGGUAAUGCAGAGCGUGAUCAGAAUGCAGGUAAGAGAAUGCAGAUGAAUGGAUCGCUGAGCAGAUGAGCUGGCACUGAUACUUGUCUGGAUGUUUCUUUAGGGAGCGUGGAUACCAGGAGACGUGGGAACGAAGACACACCGGAGAAGCACAGGAGACGAGGAGACACUGGGAAUCACGGAGGACGCUGGAGACAGGUAAGUCGGUAGCAAGGGAGUCCAAGAGGUAAGUAAACACAGGUUAGUGUCAACGAGACCGGACAGUGACUGAGUGAACUGGUGUGUCUUUUAUGUGGCAGUAGUGAUGAGUGCGGAUUGGCGUCAGGUGAGGCUUGUUAGUAUUCGGGAGAGGGAGUGCGAUGUGAUUGGGUGACUGUGGAGCCUGGCGUGUCUGUGACAAUCUUUGAGUCAGUAAUAGAAAGGUCUAAUUAAACCUGUCCUGUAAGGUUGUCAUUUGGGUGGUCACGGACUCUUGUUGGGCUUUUGUUCCUGCCAAAACAGGUUUUAGCUCACUACUGUAUAUCUGGUUGAAUGUAAAAGAUGAUAUGGUUAUAGAGUUUGGAUCUGAGGAGAGUUUCAGACUGGAAGUUUGUAUUCACAUUGAAGGCUAGUGUCAAAUGAAAUCACUUCCUGUGUUGGCACUAUAAAAUGAACUAUUAAGAGUAGGCAUCAUUAUAGGAACCACAGCUCAUCUGUGAAGAUGUACUGCAAGACACAAGAACAAAUAAUGGAAAUAGAGGACAUUUAUGAAAAUAAUUGCAGAAAUAAUGGCACAACUGGACGUCAAAGACACUGGCGGGAUGAAGGACAAGCUAGAAAUCGCAAAGGAAGUCGAUGUUUGGUGCUGAUCACAGUGUGUCUCGGGAUCCUUUGUCUUCUUCUGAUUGCUGCCAUCAUACAUCAGCACAUUCAGGGUGCUUCUAAACAAGGAUAUCUGUGGGGUCCAGAUGGUUUGUUCAUAUCCAAUGAGUUGAAGAGCUGGUUUGACAGCAGGCAGUACUGCAGGGAUCGAGGAGCUGAUCUGGUCAUUAUCAACACUGAAGAGAAGCAGGUGAGUUUGUGUGAGUGUCUGAUCAUGAAUGAGAGAAUCACACUUAUUCCUGUUUUUAUUCACACACAGAGACUCAUAACUUCAUUAGUCAAGGACAAUGUGUGGAUCGGUUUGUCUGACAUUGAGAACGAGGGCAACAUGAAAUGGGUGGAUAAUUCACCACUGAAACAAGGGUUUUGGGCUGUGGGUGAGCCGAAUAACUAUCGUGGUGGAGAUGAGGACUGCAUUGGAUUGAAUCCUGGAAUACACACUCUGAACAAUUGGUGUGAUCUCGAUUGCUCUUACAAGAGAAAAGGGAUUUGUGAGAAAUAGGGUUUUGCCCUGUUUUUCAUGCUUUUACUUGCAUCAUCUAAUGGAAUCAAUCUUAUUGUGAUCAUAUUAUUCAUUAUUACAAUUCCUAUCUUUUAAAACAAUGUCAGUUUAUUUCAUCAUGUUUUAACUGCUUUCAUCUGAAAUUGCUGCACACUUUACAUCUGAUGUGUUCAUGUCUUGAUCCAUCACUAGCAGCUCUAUGUUAAUAUAAUCUUAUCUGUUACCAAGUGUUUCAUUUGUACACAUAUUGCUUAUAGUGGCAUUGUAUAGAAGUUUAAGCUGUCCCAGAUUAAAAUUAACCCUAAAAGGCUGAAAAUUAAAAAUCAAAGACAUAAUUACUAGAGGAAGCGGUAAUAAUCAAAAGAUGGGACACAAUAAUGAAAAGAUGACAUAGUAAACUUCAUUUUUGCUUUUAUUUCACAUUUCAUUCUUGUCUGUCAGCUUCAUUGCAUUUGAUGAGAACACGUGUUGCUGUUUUGUUAAAUAGAUACAAUCACUUUUUUUAACAUUUUCUUAAUCUUGGACCUCCUCAUUGUUGGUCUUUUUCACAUAAUCACUGAAUGACUGAUAACAUCUCAAGCACCACCAGCCUAUAAUUCGAUUUAGUAUGAAAACUAUGCCUUUUCAUUCAUACAUGUUUAACUUUUUAAGUCUUAUUUUAAAAAAGCUUGAUUGACAUUUAAACAGUACUGUAGUGAAGAGAGGCUGAAAAAUGUUUUCAGAUUGUUUUCACAUCCCUGGUUUUACCUGAACCUUUGUGUGAGUUAAUAAAAAUGUGUAAAAGGAUAUCAGAACAGAUAUUGUAUUUUGAGGAUAUUUAUCAUGAAUGAAAUUUAACAGUGGUUCUCUUCGGGACCCACCGCUCUGCACAUUUUGUAUUUCUUCCUUAUUUAACGCACCUGUUUAAGAUCAUCAGUGUAUUAGCAGAGAGCUCCAUUACUGAAUGAUAAGAGACAUGCCAAAUGUGCAGAUCUGUGGGUUGAGAACCACUGCAGUGUAAUUUAUUUGAAAACUGGAACAGCUUGUUUUGAGACACUGUUUCUGAUUAUGGGGAAUAUAAAAAAAGGUUAGUUAGGGUGUUUGUUUACACACACUCAGACACACAUUUACAUUUAAACACUAUGUAAAAGUGAAUUUUGCAUAUUAGGCCCUAGGGAUGCUGGAUUACGGCAAAAGUUAAUCACGAUUAUUUAACACGAUUAUUGGUGGUGAUGUGAUAUGAUCGCAGUCUUAUGUCACAAUAUGAGUAAGUGAAUUUUCACAACCAUCAAUACUUCAGCAAAAACUAAAAAACUAAAAGAUACUAAGUAAAUUAAAAUGUCCUCAAAACAACUACAGAAGUAAACAGUAUGAAAUACAAUAACAACAAAGAAUUAAUUACAGAAAAUACAACAGAACAAAAAUACAAAGAUUUUAAGAUUUUAAGGUUUUCAGGAAGAUGCACUAACAGUUGUAUUCAAAUAAUUAAUAGCCUAAAACAAAACUUGCACUGCAUACUCUUACUGUAUUCAUUAAACAUAGAUUAACCCUUAAUAGGCUACUCAGAUAUUCAGUAAAGAUCGUUGACUGUUUUUCCUUUGUCAUUUGUUGUUUAUCCCCUAAAGCAUGCUCGUUUUAAGUUGGACUGCAAGUCUUUAUUGUUGUUGAAGGCCGGUGUGAAAUUAAACCACUUCCUGUUUUGGGGUUAGCGGUUUAAAAAAAAAAAAUAUUUUUUUUUUUCUAUGUAGUCUUUUUUUUUUUUUUUUUUUUUUACAUAUUCUUGUUCACAGAAAGUUGAAAUUACUUUAAGGAAGGAAUGGUGUAGCAGAUGUGUUUGAGGAAUGAGAACUUGCCUACAGUUUUAAUAUUGUCAGGGUUUCUGAUUUUAUAUGAAGUGUAUUAAUAUGGAAUUAUUUUCUAUUAAAUUUACCUUCUUUUUUUUUUUAAACGUCUGUUUCUUAUCCAAAGAAAAACGUGUUUUUAAACAAAGACUUAUUUAAAACAUUAUUUUAAAAAAUAUGGUGUAAAUUGUUAUAAUUUUGAUAUUUGCAUACUCCAUCAAAGCAGAGAAAGACCCCUUAAAGAGUUACUAAAACACAUUCAAAGAGUUAAAUCAGACGAUCAACAGCUUACAGGACAAUUACACCACAAAAACCCAAGUGUUAAAUUAACUCUCCUCAGAGUUUAUUUGAGUCCACACUCAAGAGUGUUGAAAUUAACAGUGAAGUAGUGUUAAUGAAAGUUAAUGAAAUUAUUAUGUAAAUAAUUACAUGAUGACUGACUUUUAGUGAAAACACCUGAUGUUAACAAACAGAAUAACUGAAGG